UGUAGCUUAAUUAUUUGGCAGAGCGAAUCACUGUUAAUGAUUUCGUUGUUGGUUCGAUUCCAAUC
rnacentral:tRNA from 1 species